GUAUGUGUACAUUCAUCUUAAGAGAAGAGGACAUCUACUCCUCUCAAUUUCUAAAGCCACAAUAUGCCAUCCAAUAUUGAAGAUUGAAACCAUUAAUCAUGACCUAUACCAUUAACAUGUGUAGAGAUAGAAAUCAUUUAUUUUGCUAAUUUAUAACCUAUAAAUCGAGUGGGUGCAAAAAUGAAAGGUUAAGAUGACACC
rnacentral:lncRNA from 1 species